GCCUUCUUGGCUCAGUUGGUUAGAGCGCAGGUCUCAUAUGUCAUUGUGAGCUGUUUCAGACAGUGUAAUCCUGAGGUCGUGAGUUCGACCCUCACAGAAGGCA